rnacentral:rRNA from 1 species
GGAGGAUCCGAGCGUUAUCCGGAUUUAUUGGGUUUAAAGGGUGCGUAGGUGGUUUAAUAAGUCAGCGGUGAAAGUUUGCAGCUUAACUGUAAAAAUGCCGUUGAAACUGUUAGACUUGAGUGUAAAUGAGGUAGGCGGAAUGCGUGGUGUAGCGGUGAAAUGCUUAGAUAUCACGCAGAACUCCGAUUGCGAAGGCAGCUUACCAAGCUACAACUGACACUGAAGCACGAAAGCGUGGGGAUCAAACAGGAUUAGAUACCCUGGUAGUCCACGCAGUAAACGAUGAUUACUAGCUGUUUGCGAUACACAGUAAGCGGCACAGCGAAAGCGUUAAGUAAUCCACCUGGGGAGUACGCCGGCAACGGUG